GAUAAACGCUGGCGGCGUGCCUAACACAUGCAAGUCGAACGCCCUUUUGCGCAAGUGAGAGGGAGUGGCGGACGGGUGAGUACCACGUGGGUACCUACCUUGAGGUGAGGAAUACCACCGAGAAAUCGGUGACAAGACCGCAUACGCUUGGCAACAAGCAAAGUCUCGCAAGAGACGCCACAAGAUGGGCCUGCGCCUGAUUAGCUAGUUGGUGAGGUAAUGGCNCACCAAGGCGACGAUCAGUAGCUGGUCUGAGAGGAUGAUCAGCCACACUGGGAUUGAGAACGGCCCAGACUCCUAC
rnacentral:rRNA from 1 species